rnacentral:siRNA from 1 species
UGACUGUGUUUCUCCUUUCUC